UCUAUUAUGGCAGAUCUAAUGCAAUGGAUUUAAGACCCAUUUAUAAAGAUUUUUUAUCUUUUAAUAGAA
rnacentral:tRNA from 1 species